CGUGCGGGAGACCGCAGGGGGGUAUUUUCCGCAGGGGGCGAAAGUGUGAUGGAGUGUCAUCGCGAGAAAGAUAGAGGUUAUGGUAUUGUAAAUGUCUUAUCUGGGGAUAUAAUGUGGUUGUCCCCGCAGGAUAAGGGGCGGAUAUCUAUGUGCGAGCCGGCGGGGUAACAGAGAGGUCCCGAGUGUUUUCGAGAUUUACGGGGUGUAAAGCGUCUGGAGGGAGUAAAGUGUGUGAGACGUGAAAGAGGGGGGCUCAAUCCAAAGUGCGUUUUUCAAUAUGAUUUUGGAGAUUGAGCAAGAUGUAUGCGGAAUUUAUGGAGCAGGUGUACAUUCAGUAGAUUCGGUAAAGCACCCCAAACGAGGNAGGCAGCACGGGGGGGGUCUAGUAGCUAUGUGAAGCGAAGGCCUGGGGAACGUAAGUGAUUACACAGGAGUGGGACACGGGCCUUUUAGAUGGAUGAAAGAGGGGUCGCACCGUGAGGGCCAUAUUCGCAGAAUUCGGCAUUCACGUCUCUUCAUUGGAGUGUGAUGGAAUUAUGCAACAACUGCUGCCUCCCGUAGG
rnacentral:rRNA from 1 species